GACAGAGGGUGCAAACGUUGUUCGGAAUUACUGGGCGUAAAGCGCAUGUAGGCGGCUCGUCAAGUCGGAUGUGAAAACCCUCGGCUUAACCGAGGAAGUGCAUUCGAUACUAGCGAGCUUGAGUACGGGAGAGGAUCGCGGAAUUCCCGGUGUAGAGGUGAAAUUCGUAGAUAUUCGGAAGAACACCAGUGGCGAAGGCGACUUACUGGACGACUGUUGACGCUGAGGUGCGAAAGCGUGGGGAGCAAACAGG
rnacentral:rRNA from 1 species